rnacentral:rRNA from 1 species
GACGAACCUGACAAACGUUAUUCGGAAUUACUGGGCGUAAAGCGCGUGUAGGCGGCUCUGCAAGUCGGAUGUGAAAUCCCACGGCUCAACCAUGGAAGUGCAUUCGAAACUGCAGGGCUAGAGUCCUGGAGAGGAAGGUGGAAUGCUUGGUGUAGAGGUGAAAUUCGUAGAUAUCAAGCGGAACACCGGUGGCGAAGGCGGCCUUCUGGACAGUGACUGACGCUGAGACGCGAAAGCGUGGGGAGCAAAACGG